rnacentral:rRNA from 1 species
UACGUAGGGUGCAAGCGUUGUCCGGAAUUAUUGGGCGUAAAGAGCUCGUAGGCGGUCUGUCGCGUCGGCUGUGAAAACACGGGGCUCAACUCCGUGCCUGCAGUCGAUACGGGCAGACUAGAGUUCGGUAGGGGAGACUGGAAUUCCUGGUGUAGCGGUGAAAUGCGCAGAUAUCAGGAAGAACACCCGUGGCGAAGGCGGCUCUCUGGGACGGUACUGACGCUGAGACGCGAAAGCGUGGGGAGCGAACAGG